CCAAAGGCUCUUUUAAGAGCCACUCCAUGCGCAAUUAAAAGAGCUGU
rfam:Pelecanus crispus contig65737, whole genome shotgun sequence.